rnacentral:rRNA from 1 species
CUAGCCGUAAACGAUGGGUACUAGGUGUAGGAGGUUUCGAUACCUUCUGUGCCGCAGUUAACGCAAUAAGUACCCCGCCUGGGGAGUACGUGCGCAAGCAUGAAACUCAAAGGAAUUGACGGGGGCCCGCACAAGCGGUGGAGCAUGUGGUUUAAUUCGAAGCAACGCGAAGAACCUUACCAGGUCUUGACAUCCCUUGACAACCUCAGAGAUGAGGCCUCUCUUCGGAGCAAGGAGACAGGUGG